rnacentral:rRNA from 1 species
GACGUAGGGCGCGAGCGUUGUCCGGAUUUAUUGGGCGUAAAGAGCUCGUAGGCGGCUUGUCGCGUCGUUUCGUGAAAACCUGGGGCUCAACCCCAGGCUUGCGGGCGAUACGGGCAGGCUAGAGUUCGGUAGGGGAGACUGGAAUUCCUGGUGUAGCGGUGAAAUGCGCAGAUAUCAGGAGGAACACCGGUGGCGAAGGCGGGUCUCUGGGCCGAUACUGACGCUGAGGAGCGAAAGCGUGGGGAGCGAACAGG